rnacentral:rRNA from 1 species
UACGUAGGGUGCAAGCGUUGUCCGGAAUUACUGGGCGUAAAGCGCACGUAGGCGGAAUGUUAAGUCAGGGGUGAAAUCCCGGGGCUCAACCCCGGAACUGCCUUUGAUACUGGCAUUCUCGAGUCCGGAAGAGGUGAGUGGAAUUCCGAGUGUAGAGGUGAAAUUCGUAGAUAUUCGGAGGAACACCAGUGGCGAAGGCGGCUCACUGGUCCGGUACUGACGCUGAGGUGCGAAAGCGUGGGGAGCAAACAGG